rnacentral:rRNA from 2 species
AUGCAUGUCUAAGUACACGCCUUUACACGGCGAAACUGCGAAUGGCUCAUUAAAUCAGUUAUGGUUCCUUAGAUCGUACAAUCCUACUUGGAUAACUGUGGCAAUUCUAGAGCUAAUACAUGCAACACAGCUCCGACCCUUGCGGGGAAGAGCGCUUUUGUUAGCCCAAAACCAACGCGGCGGUCGUUCACGCGGCCGUCGGUCAGUGUGGUGACUCUGAACAACUUUGUGCCGAUCGCACGGCCUUUGCGCCGGCGACAUAUCUUUCAAGUGUCUGCCCUAUCAACUUUCGAUGGUACGUGCUAUGCCUACCAUGGUGAUAACGGGUAACGGGGAAUCA